CUUGAACCUCUCUGUGUCUCUCUCCCUCUCUCUCUCUCUCUCUUUAAAACAAAGACGCUUUGUCAUAAACAGGGUUAUUUUACCAAAAGGAGUCAAGGGGGCAACAUAUGUGGUCUUAACGGGUCAUAGGUCAAACAUCCAUGAAACACAAGGUCACGGAAGCCUCACAAGUAACCUUCCAGUGUGUCAACAUAUUGAUACUGUCAGAUAACACAGGGGAAGAAAUACGCCUUUGGCACCAUUAGAAUACGCAGCCAUGAGCGCCCUUCUGUGAUCAAGACUGCUGGUUUUAUUGAGAUUUCUUCUCCUGUCAGCUUCAACUUCACAUCACACUCUGAGCAGUGCGUAUUUCAAGCGAUUUAAUUGUUGCAUCUGUAGGGCCACGUCUCAAUGUGUGCUUCUGAAAACCUGUUGAAAUACUUGGUCUUUGGGGGAUUUUUUUCAAUAGGCUGGACCCCUCUUCUUCUCCCAAGCAGAAGGAAAACCCACAACCAUGUGCCUCUGUCCGAUUGAUUUUUUUCUUCCUCUAAAUUUUCUUUUUUCACCCUAUCUGGGGAAGUUUUUUUUCUGUGGUUUUCCAGUGAAAUAAAGAACUUCUUAUAGGGGUCGGCAGACGUGACUUUGAACUUGGAUCAGCUCCUGCGUUUCCUGUGGUGCGGGUUGAAAUAGACUUGGAAGAAUGGCACACAACGCUCAGCCUGUCCCACUCUGAGGAGACAGACAAUUUCAAAAAAAGAAGUUUUUAAAACGUUUUUCCCCCCUCGCCUUCGCCAUUAUUAGUCGCCCAGAGAGACUCGGAGAGCUCAGACAGACAGACAGAGAUAGACUGACAGACGGCAGAGCUGCAGGGAUUUGCUGAAAACCUCCUCAAACCUCUGCCCCAUGGGUCACCAGCUGACAGACAGCGAGAGGAGGGUGCCGCCUCUCUUCUUAUCCACUCUUCUCUCACUUUUUGCCUUUUGGGGAACACACUGCUUUGCAACCAGGGAAUCAUUUGGGAACCCCAGAGGAGACGAAGGACCAGUUGGCAGAGAUUGGAGAGGGGAUGUAUCUCGCGGCUUUGGGUAAGGGCCUCACUUUGGCCAUGCAGGCAGGUUGGCCUUUGACCUGUGACUGCUGCAUUCCUGCACAAGUUUUGGACAUUUCCCUGGUAGCCACCUGGAGAGCGACUGGCCCCAGACCUCAGUCUAUUUUUCCAUCAACAUCCAUCAUUUGGGAACAGACUGGCCUUACCCAAGACAUGAAACUUCAAGAAAAUGUUUUCUACUUUUUUUAUUUUUUGGAUCAAAACAACAGGAAAUCUCUGAAAACAAUAAGGCAGUUAUUAUUGUUAGACUGAGAUGGACUUUACUGUCCUUUAGUGCACAUUCGAAAGAAACUUGCAUUGGCUUACUGUAGUAUAAAUAACACUAUACCCCCUUCUAUUAAACAACAAGAUGCUAAGAUUAAUAAAUAAGUGUCUAAAAAUGACUACAGCAAUACAUUUAAAUAUAAAAAGUAUAUAAGAAUAGCGUUGUGUAUUGCAGACAAAUGUUACACAGAAUGUAUUGCACAUCAGUUAUUGCACCUGAGCUCAUUGCUUGUAUGAGGAUGGUGGGGAUUCAUGUGAGAUUAUUGUGCUUUAUUAUAUCGAGGGUACAAGUGGCAGAAUUUGUGCACACAUAGUUUUUAAACUACCAAAAGCUCAAAAGCAGAGAUGGAAAGUUUUCCUUGGCGAAACGACAAACACAAAAACUACUUUCUGAGCCACAAAAGAAUCUUUUUUUUUUCCCACUUCUUGCCAUAAACACUGUGUUUUUCCACAAACACUCUUUCCCAGUGUUUGUGACAAACAAAGAAAACGUCAAAAACCAGGAAUGAGUGAGCAGAUUAAAAGUAAAGAAACUGAAGAUCAAGAGAAAAAUGAAAGCGAUGUACAACUGUUCCUUGUAGAUAGACAGGUUUUUUAACUGCCUCGUUGAAAAGCUACUAAGUGUGCGGCAAGAAUCACAUAGUUUUGCUUUGUCUUUACAUGUUGUGGGCCCCAUUGUGUGGUUCUCUUCAGUGAGGAUUUUAGAUUGCGCCUGCUGAGGUUACAGUUACAAACAAGAAAGAACAUCUAAAGAGGCCGCAGUUUAUUAUGAAAGGAAAGCCAUUAUUUCCAGCAUCCAAGCAGCACAGCACACGGGGGAAGGUGACAAUAGGUGAGGAGAAGUGAAGGUGGGAGAAAUAGGGCAGUUAGACGGGCAGGUGGAUGGAGACGGAGCAGGAACAAACAAAUGAAGAGGGCACCUCAUACGUGGCUCCCCCGCCGGGCCUGCUUGAAUAGAGCCAGAGCAGAUGUCAAAGGACAAGCCUCUCAGCCACAUUGUACACAUAUCUGUCACCACAGCACCCUGACAAAAUAUUGGCAACUAGGUAAAUAUUGUGGAUGGCAGGGGGUUAGAGGUGUAUGCUGGACCUGUAAGACUUAAGUGAAAAUCAAUAGUGGUGAGCUGCUGAGGCCACAGUGGUGCGUGUGUCUGUGUCUGCGGUACAGUGUGUUUGUGGUAAUGGCAGGCUAUCAUAAUCACAGGACACUUAGAAAGGUCAGAGUGUUUGGUGAGCCUUCAGUAUACACUACAUAUAUAGCACUAUAAAUCUCUCUCUGUAUAUAUGUUUAUAUGUAGAGAGUGAAGUGAAAUGCAUUCACAUAGUCACACACAGAGGAAAUUUGAGCUUUUCUUUAUUCUUUUCUUUCUCACUUUAGCCUCUCCAUGAUUUUUGGAUUAUUUUGAUGCACACACGUGUCAAAGAAUUUUGUUGAACCUCUUUUUUUUCUUCCUUUAUGGAGUCAAAACCAAAUAUCGUAAAUGUUUAAAGUCCAUUCUCUACCUUUUCACUUGGUUUCUCUAAACGCAAAAUCCGAUUAGGCAAAACCCAGAAAACCCAUUUUCUGAUUCAUACCUCUUUGCUCCCUUCAUCGACCAAGCAGAACAGCUACUGCUCACUCACUCAGUAAUGAAGACCCCGAGCACGCCCAGACGGGCCUUUUGGGCAAACGUACAGAUACACACCGCCACACAGACACAUGUCGUAGGGGUUAAUAAACACAGCUCAAAUGCUGGGUUGAGGACGGGAGCACGGGCCCAGAAUCAAGCUGUUUUGGGUUUCAUCACCAUCCUAAAUCUAAUUCCAUGUUCUAGAGGUGGAGUGGUUAACUGCUUUCUGCUGCAAUACUAUGGUCAUGUCAUCUAAGAGAAAUCCAAGCGUAUGAUUAGGCCUCGGUAGGUUUGGGUGAGGCUGUGGGUGGGAUAGGCAGGUUGGUUUCAGGGGGACUUUCUAAUAGGCAUUCACUUGGUGAGAGCUCCCGCCUUCAACACACUCACACACACACACACAAUUUCUACACUGUUAUUGCUCUGUCUCCUUUCUCUCUCACUCAUUUGGUGAUCUCAUGGAGUGAGACUUUUCCAUGGAGGACAAUAGCAGUGGAAAUGGAUUAUGAUUAUAAAGGAUAGGUAGUGGCUUGGCACAGCACCUUCACUGUGCAGCAUUAAUAUGGCGAAGCACUCCCCAGGAGGUUCUCUGUCCUCUCUGCCUAAACUGUAGGCUUGGUGAUUUCUCUUUAUGCCACUUUUCAGUAUACACUAUACCGUGGCGUUGCACUUACACCUUACAUUAUAUUUGCUGAAAACCUUCAAUAACCCUCCGCUCUGCAACUGGGAACAUUUGAAAUCUCCUCUGGCUUUUUGCUGUUAUGAGGGAAUUCAAGUGUGAAGGUUUGAUAUGGUCAAAUAAUCAGCAUUAAUUUGAUAGAAUCACAAAAGCGAUACCUUUUUCUUUUUUUUUCUUUUUUUUUUUUGUCUGCCUCCCCCAUCAAAUAAUUAGUUGCACAUUUUAGAUAUUUGAUAGCAGUUUGGCCAUUAAUAAUUCAUGCUCACUAAAUUCAUAAAACAUCAUCUUGUCCCCAGCAAGUAACAUUUGAUAUUACAUCUAAGGCCCAGAGCAGAGAUGUUUGCCAGAAUCCCAUCAAAUGAAAUUUCUAAAAAUACUGACUAGCAUGUUCUCCCUCAAAGGCUCUCAGUGGCCCUUUAAGAACGACUGGAGGAGGAGAGAAGUCCCCUGCUAUCUAUUUUCUUUGGCGCCACAGCUCUUUUCUGAACGUCUUCCAUUUGAUUCCCUGCCUCUCCUUUUUUUCCCCCCUUUUCCCUCUCCCUCUCUUCUAGCCCCUUCUCAUGAUGUCAAUUUAAUUCAAUCUAAAGGAUUUAAAGCGACCAGUAUCUUUUAAUGUCUGUUGGAAAGGCACUUGUAACACAUUAAAUUUACUUUCACCUUUCUGCUGGGAUUUUAAGGGGGGGAAAUAAAGAUCAAUUAUUUGCCGAAUCUGAAGUUUCAUUAAAAUCACUUUUCUCUGUCUGUGUC